rnacentral:piRNA from 2 species
AACAAAGAUUGGAGCUGAAGACCUU